GCUGAGUUAUUCAACUCUAAAAACCAUUUGUGAACGAUACCGAACCGUUACUGCUUUGGCGGACGGUCCUUCUGGAUUGGGCCGGUAAGUAAUUACGCAAACUCUUGUUAUUUCUAUAGAUUAUUCAUUGCUGAGUUACUAUUUACAAUAAGUUAA
rnacentral:misc_RNA from 1 species